UGCCCCAUGGUGUAAUGGUAACACACAACAUUUUGGAUGUUAGAUUAUCAGUUCAAAUCUGGUUGGGGUAAC
rnacentral:tRNA from 1 species